rnacentral:rRNA from 1 species
UACGUAGGGCGCAAGCGUUGUCCGGAUUUAUUGGGCGUAAAGAGCUCGUAGGCGGUUUGUCGCGUCUUCCGUGAAAACUGGGGGCUUAACUUCCAGCUUGCGGUGGAUACGGGCUGACUGGAGUGCGGCAGGGGAGACUGGAAUUCCUGGUGUAGCGGUGAAAUGCGCAGAUAUCAGGAGGAACACCGGUGGCGAAGGCGGGUCUCUGGGCCAUUACUGACGCUGAGGAGCGAAAGCGUGGGGAGCGAACAGG